UAGCCUCUCGAUGGUCGUUGUGCUAUAAAACGCGCCGCUCAGCGGGGUAGACCCCGUCGAGCCUAACCCCACACACGUGUCGACACGGUAUCCUGGGUGCUCGCAAGAGUUGGAUAUCGGGACGCGUGGAGGCCUAACC
rnacentral:misc_RNA from 1 species